GUCUAAGGCCGUACCACCCUGAACACGCCUGAUCUCGUCUGAUCUCGGAAGCUAAGCAGGAUCCGGCCUGGUUAGUACUUGGGUGGGCAAGAGAGAGGAGGGAAGACG
ensembl:rRNA 5S_rRNA 5S ribosomal RNA